rnacentral:misc_RNA from 1 species
UUUCCGUAGGUGAACCUGCGGAAGGAUCAUUAUUGUAUAGCCGUGGUGCGAGGGCUGUCGCUGACCCGAAAGGUCGUGCACGCCCGAGUGCCCUCACACACAUCCAUCUCACCCCUAUGUGCACCACCGCGUGGGUCCCCCUUUGGCUUGUUCGGAGGGGGGCUUACGUUUUCACACAAACUUUGUAUGCAGUGUAGAAUGUAUUUUUUGUUUUUGCGAUCACGCAAUCAAUACAACUUUCAACAACGGAUCUCUUGGCUCUC